UUGCCUUCUGAAGAAGAAGCUUUACACUGGAAUGUAAGCAAAUAUCUCUGGAGAGAAGAAGAAGAAGAGAAGAGUCUUUAUCUUUAAACAAAUCUGCCUUCUGACCAAGAGGGAUACCCUAUUUCUAAAUCCCAAGGCUCUUUGCCAUGACCUGGUCUUGGGCAAAGUGAACGAGACUCCUAGGGCACAAAACGUAAAAAGGCAUUCAAUAGGUUGCAGGGCCCUAAAACCAAGUGGCUCCUCAAACUUUGCACCCUGCAUGCCUUGCUCACCUGAUCCUAGUUGAGGCCCUUCUGUUUGCUCAUCAAACAUACUGUUUGCUCACAAGAUAAGAGCUAGACCAUGCAGAAGUGCAAUACAUUCAUGGAGAAUUUUUUUCCCAACAUCCAUUCCCAAGAUCAAGGUUACACAGUUGCCAAAGAUUGUAGAGUAUUCUGAAUAUAUCAUCUAUUUUCUUCCUGGACAGAACUAAAUCCAUCAGAAGUAACUUUUUUAAAAAAUGUUUCUUUCUUUUGCAUACAAUUUGUUUUUAUUUUAGAUUAAGAGAUGAGUCCAGAGGUAAGGGGGACAGGAGAACUGUGACAUCAGGGAUGACACUACCCUUUGAGAGCACUGGAGCAGUUAGAAAGGAUUGAAAGUGAAUAAUCUUAUUUCAUAAGGGGUAUGUCAUUUUAUGAUUCAAAUUAAGUCUGUGAUUAUCACUUAGCAAAAUUGCUAAAAUCAUUAUCAGAAUAUCCCAUAUCAUGAUAGGAGGAAGAAAAAGAAGUAAAAUCUAAAAUUGUUAUGGAGGUAAAUAGAAGACUGCCAUAAACAAGCUAUCUACAGAAUUAUGGGGCUUAGGAAUUCACAGUACCCUAUAAACAAGAACACAGCUUUGAGAAUUUCUAUACUCUAAUUUUUAAAAAUGAAGUAUAUUUUGUGAAUUUUUCACCCACAAAUUAUUUUAACUGGAAGCCAUCACAGCUCAUUAAUCAGCAAUUGGUGAAGGACUAAAGCAGCCCAAAUCAUUCCUGUCUCAAAGUAAGGCCUGCUUGUAAGCAAGUGUGAACUGGGGAUGUAUGUGCAGAAAUCAGAGCCUAAGUAUGGUAAGCUGGACAUUUCAGAGAUAAGGAAGGCAGCUGGUGUGUGUGAAAUCUUAUAUCAAUAACUGAUUUUAUUUUUUCAGUCCUAAUUGCUAUUAUGGAAUUUGUGCUUUUCAUUAUUACAUCUUCACAAAGCAUGAUUUUUAACUUUAGAACAAUUUACAUUUUAUGCUGGAUAAUUCUGUUGUGAGGGACUGUCAUGUGCAUUGUGAGAUAUUGAGCAGCAUCCUUGUCCUCGUACAGUUAUCAGGUAAAAUACAGAGUGUGUCAGUUCAAUUUGAAUUUCAAAUAAGCAACAAAUAAUUGU
rnacentral:lncRNA from 1 species